rnacentral:lncRNA from 1 species
AAAGUUACAAUGUCUUGCGUACUAUUCCUUAAGGAAUUGAAUAUCUCUAAUCUAAUCUGGAUAUGUUAACCUACAUCCAAGAUAUAAACAAUUUCUCACGUUUUCAAAUAUCAAGUGUACCCAGGUUCAUACCACUAUACUAUAUGGUGGAUAUAGUAUAAUACGUUUACAGUGUACUGUGAAAUAAACUUUAGUAGCAAGGUUAUAUGGAUGUUCAACUACUAUAUUAUUGGAUAGAAUAGACUGACACUACGACAUGGAUGAGUUCAUAUCACUAAUACAAGUAACAGAGCAACGAGGGUGAGUUAUUGAAACCCCCACCCAGAUGAUAACACUAAACUCUAACCUGGAAAUGUCAACCCACAUCCGAGAUAUAAACAGUUAUCCCCGUUUUCAAAUAAUGACAUUCACCAGGUUCAUAAUACUAUAGUACAUGGUGGAUAUAGUAUAGUACUUUUAGAGUGUACGAGGAACUAAACUUUAGUUUUCGUUCAAUAAUUCAUAGGACUUUAGUAGCAAGGUUAUAUGAAUGUUCUACUAUUCAAUUAUUGAAUAGAAUAGACUGACACUACGACAUUGACGGGUUCAUAUCACUAAACUCUAAACUCUAAUCACUAAACUCUAACUCAAAUAUAAACCCUAAACCCAAAUAUAAACACAAAACCCAAAUAGAAUGGAACAAAAUAAAUAACAUGGUACAUAUAGGUGAAACUAUAAACCCUAAUCCAAAUAUAUCCUAAACCCUAAACCCAAAUAAAUAGAUUAAGUUAAACCCUAAUCAAGGAAGUAUAAACCCAAAUAGAAUGUACACAAUAUGGUUUACUAUACUCAAACCUUUACUUAGUAAAUCAAAACCCUAGGCAUGAACCUAUAAACCCAAAUACAAUCUAUAAAUGGUUUUCCAAUAUUAAACACCUGAAAGCACAUUUACUUGAAAUAAAUAGAUUAAUCUAAACCCUAGUCAAAAAAAAUAUAAACCCAAAUAGAAUAUAUAUAUAAUAUGGUUUACUAUACCCAAACAUUUACUUAGUGAAUCUAAACCCUAACUCAAAUAUAAACCCUAAACCCAAAUAUAAACCCAAAACCCAAAUAGAACGGAACAAAAUAAAUAACAUAGUACAUAUAGGUGAAACUAUAAAAUAUCUAUGAUUGUAUGAAAGAAGUUAAUGUUCACCCCAACCAUACCCCCUCACCUUCUAAAUACUAAACAUUACAUUCUAGUCACUAAACCCUAAUCCAAAUAUACCCUAAACCCUAACCCUAAAUAAAUAGAUUAAGCUAAACCAUAAUCAAGGAAGUAUAAACCCAAAUAGAAUGUAUAUAAUAUGGUUUACUAUACCCAAACCU